UACGAAGGGGGCUAGCGUUGCUCGGAAUCACUGGGCGUAAAGGUGCGUAGGCGGGUCUUUCAGUCAGGGGUGAAAUCCUGGAGCUCAACUCCAGAACUGCCUUUGAUACUGAAGAUCUUGAGUUCGGGAGAGGUGAGUGGAACUGCGAGUGUAGAGGUGAAAUUCGUAGAUAUUCGCAAGAACACCAGUGGCGAAGGCGGCUCACUGGCCCGAUACUGACGCUGAGGCACGAAAGCGUGGGGAGCAAACAGG
rnacentral:rRNA from 1 species